rnacentral:rRNA from 1 species
AAUAUGGGACAAUGGGGCUAAUCCUGAUCUAGUCUUGCCUCGUGAUUGAAGUAUGUCAUCGGUUAAUAAAGAACUUCAAGUUGAACGGAAGGGCCCUAGGCUAAUACCCUGAAGUUCUCACGUUACCAACAGAAUAAGCUCCCGCUAACUCAACGCCAGCAGCCGCGGUAAUACAGAGGGUGCAAUCGUUAAUCGGAAUUACUGGGCGUAAAGCGCUCGUAGGUGGUUUGUUAAGUUGGAAGUGAAAGCCCCGGGCUCAACCUGGGAACUGCUUUCAAAACUGGCAAGCUAGAGUAUGGCAGAGGGUGGUGGAAUUUCCUGUGUAGCGGUGAAAUGCGUAGAUAUAGGAAGGAACACCAGUGGCGAAGGCGACUACCUGGACUGAUACUGACACUGAGGUGCGAAAGCGUGGGGAGCAAAC